GAACCUUGGGUGACUUAGUUUCACUCAGACACUGUGCUCCCUGCUUCCUUCUUGCAUUCAGCAUCCACACUAUUGAGACAAAUGCACAGCUGUGGAAACCUUUCAAAACUUCAUGGAACUCGAUGUUCUGGAAUACUGAAGGUCUUAAAUCUCUAUGGGUGUUCACAGUAAUAGUUCAGAAAUGCUUACAGUGUGAGCUGCAGCCUGCUAGAAUUGGGAACUGGUCUCCUCAUUUGCAAGCCAUUGGGACAGGCUCUUGCUUGGCAAGGCAGCUUGUCAGAGAUCAGGGGUGAUGUCUUUUUUCUGAGGAGAUGCACUUAGGUGGGAAUGGCCCAUAGAAUCUUUUUUGCAUGUUCCAGCCUUUGCAGGAGUGUGUUGUGUAUCCUUGUGUGCUGUCAUUGGUGUGGCAAAAAGCAAGUGCCAUGUUCAUGUCCGUGCCACAGAAAAUGCUAAGGCUUUGUUCUCUCUCAGCGUCAGCAAAAGCGCCCUGGAGAGGCGCUUGGUUCCAGUCCAUCUGAGGAACAAAGCAGACUCAUGCCCUCCAGAGCAGGUGAAAGUCUGCAGACAGCGCCAAGAGACCUCGAGGAAAGAGGUUCACCUGCUUUGGAGCCUGUUUAUGGCGAAGUCACAUAUAGCUCAGAAGACUCUUCUGAAGCUCAGAAGACUCUUCUGAGAUUGAUGUUGUCACUGUCAGUGACGAUGAGUCUGCUCUGCGUCAGCAAAAGCGCCCUGGAGAGGCGCUUGGUUCCAGUCCAUCUGAGGAACAAAGCAGACUCAUGCCCUCCAGAGCAGGUGAAAGUCUGCAGACAGCGCCAAGAGACCUCGAGGAAAGAGGUUCACCUGCUUUGGAGCCUGGUAAGAACAGAAACUGCUGCUGGACGGUUGGAGAUCAUUGGAACAUGUGCUUUUGUCAGUUCCUAGGCCCU
rnacentral:lncRNA from 1 species